rnacentral:tmRNA from 3 species
GGGGAUGUAUCGUUUCGACAGGAUUUGCUCUUUAAAAACUGCAGGCCGAACAUGAUUCUAAAGUGCGUUAGGCUUUGAAUUAAACUUACGUGCAAAAGAUAAACUUGCACAAGGGGCAAGGAAUUUUCUCGCCGCACUUAGCGACGUAGUAAAUCCUCAGCCUUUAGCUUACGCUACUGCUUAAGUAGUAAUAGCUAUGUUUCAUAAAUCUUUUCUCGGUGAGGUUUUUGAGGCAACAAUUUAGCCGGGAUAGGACUUCAGUUUUGAUCAAACUUCAGCCCGAAACUUUGAUCUUUGUUUAGGUUUUGCCUGUUAAUCGGCUAAGGCUUAAACGAGAACUUAAAGAUUCCCGCCAUAGGCGGGUCAGCCACUGGCUGAAACUAAGCUUGUAGAAGUUUUUGAAAAGUAGUCUUGGACGAGGGUUCGUAGCCCUCCAUCUCCACUA